UACGAAGGGGGCUAGCGUUGCUCGGAAUCACUGGGCGUAAAGCGCACGUAGGCGGCUUUUUAAGUCAGGGGUGAAAUCCUGGAGCUCAACUCCAGAACUGCCUUUGAUACUGAGAAGCUUGAGUCCGGGAGAGGUGAGUGGAACUGCGAGUGUAGAGGUGAAAUUCGUAGAUAUUCGCAAGAACACCAGUGGCGAAGGCGGCUCACUGGCUCGGUACUGACGCUGAGGUGCGAAAGCGUGGGGAGCAAACAGGG
rnacentral:rRNA from 1 species